AUUGAACGCUGGCGGCAGGCUUAACACAUGCAAGUCGAACGAGUGGCGGACGGGUGAGUAAUGCUUGGGCAUCUAGCUUAUGGAGGGGGAUAACUACGGGCAACUGUAGCUAAUACCGCGUACCAUAGGAUGAGCCCAAGUGGGAUUAGGUAGUUGGUGGGGUCAAGGCUCAACAAGCCGACGAUCGCUAGCUGGUCUGAGAGGAUGACCAGCCACACUGGGACUGAGACACGGCCCAGACUCCUACGGGAGGCAGCAGUGGGGAAUAUUGCGCAAUGGGGGCAACCCGGACGCAGCCAGGCCGCGUGAAUGAAGAAGGCCUUCGGGUUGUAAAGUACUUUCAGCGGGGAGGCGUUACCCGCAGAAGAAGCACCGGCUAACUCCGUGCCAGCAGCCGCAGUAAUAC
rnacentral:rRNA from 1 species